GACGAACCGUGCGAACGUUGUUCGGAAUCACUGGGCUUAAAGGGCGCGUAGGCGGCAUAGCAAGUCCGGGGUGAAAGCCCUCGGCUCAACCGGGGAAGUGCCUUGGAAACUGCUGUGCUCGAGGGAGGUAGGGGUCGAGGGAACUUCUGGUGGAGCGGUGAAAUGCGUUGAUAUCAGAAGGAACGCCGGUGGCGAAAGCGCUCGACUGGACCUUUUCUGACGCUGAGGCGCGAAAGCUAGGGGAGCAAACGGG
rnacentral:rRNA from 1 species